rnacentral:lncRNA from 1 species
UGUUUAUGAAUAUGCUAUUUCUAGUUCCUAAGACUACUGAAUUACAUUAAAAACCCGAGAAAGUUAUUAGAUACCUCACUGGGUUGUUUUUUGUAUUUGCAUAAAAUUGUGACAUAACAGAGUGAAAACAAGCCAAGUAGAUGUAUUAAUAAUUCAUUGUGAAUUUUUCUGCUGCAUUUACUCACAUCAUUUCUUUUUAAACCCAUAUUAUUACUGAUAUUUGGCUCGAAUUUCCUAAGAUGUUAUCAAGUGGCCCAAGAAUUUUGCUGUCACCUUAUAUAUAAACAUAUGUAUAUAUGCAUAUGUUUAUUUUAAGGCUUCAAUUUCUGCUGAG